rnacentral:lncRNA from 1 species
UAAUUUGCCUUUUGCAGAGCGGGAAAAGCUGAACUUUUUUUCCCGAGUGCUGGACGCAGCCCCCAUAAAUAUGGAGCAUUUGUUGUGGCCGCCUGACGGAUGCCCAGGGGGAAAGGAGAA